AUGGAGAAACUCCAUCUCUACUAAAACUACAAAAAAUUAGCCGGGCGUGGUGGCACAUGCCUGUAACCCCAGCUACUCGGGAGGCUAAUACUUUGAAAUAUAUAUAUGUGUGUGUAUACAUAUAUAUACAUAUAUAUGUAUGUAUGUAUAUAUGAAUGACUACUACUUCAUAUUACUUCAGCCCAGGCGCAGUCUUAAAACCUUCGGAGGUUGCAGUGAGGCCAGAUCGUGCCACUGCACUCCAGCCUGGGUGACAGAGCAGAGACUCUGUCUCAAAAAAAAAAAAAUAAAAUAAAGAGAGGCAAGAUGUUAGACCAGGCUGACAGUUGUUCAGCUAGCUCCUUUACCCUUUUCCCUGGUCCCCUUGAAUGGGUAGCUUAGUUAACAUCUGAAGACUUAAUUAGAAUAUUACAACAGACAAGUCUGAAGUUACCUAAAUGAAAU
rnacentral:lncRNA from 1 species